UCCCGCUCCCCCGACGCAAAGUUAGAACAAAGGGCUGGGACGACAGGGGCAGAGCGGCGCGGGUGCGGGCGCGGGGCUCGGGUGGGGCGCGCUGCAAAGGCUCCCGAGGGCCGCGUAGGCCCGCGAAGCCCGGCUGUGCUCACUCCAGUUCGGGCUGCAAAGGAAAGCAGCUCCCCACCCGCGCUCGGGUUUCCUGCCGGUACUCGGACCACGAGACUCCCGGCUGGUCCCACGUGGUGACCAGGCCGGGGAGAGCGGGCCCCCGAGGGCGGGAAGGCCGGCCCACCCGCAAGGCGCGUUUGCCGCCCCCUAAUUCCGCGGCGCAGACGGGACGGUCGCGGCACCCCCGGCCCAGACCCGCGUCCGCCAAAGCCCCGGACCUCGUUCCUCCCGAAAUAAAACCCAACAAGCCGUGAAGUCUCCCGAUUCCAGUGGAAGAGGCGCCUGAGAUUUAUGCGGCCCCCAACUCCCACACUCGGAUUACCGCCACUGUUUUUAGUUGAUUUACGGGUGGUGACCACUAAAAUAAUUUUCCUUUUUGGAAUUUUUUUUUUUUUUUAAACAUGAAAACUGCAAGCUUCGCUCCUGUCUUGACCCGCUUGGGCGGGCCUUUUUCCGUGCCGGAAGGAGAGAAAGCCGGCCUCCCUCCACCUUCUCUACCGCCUCUGGCCUGUCGAGCCCCCUCCCACGACCCCUUUCUUUGCAAUUUAAGGGAACGUAUUUUUUCCUUCCUCCCGUCGCCCAAGGGCGUUCACAGGGAUUCCUCCUGAGAAGCCCUGCCGCGCGGCGCGUUGGGUGCGCCGCGGACUGCGCGGGACCCCGAGCCCCACUCGGGGGUCGCGGCCCCCACCCUAACCCCGCUGCUGGGGGAGAGCGGAGGUGGAGAGCAAGUGCCCCACGGUCUCAGUCUGGUCACUCUUCAUUCCUCGCCGUCCUGGGGCCCGCGCAGGGCACAGCCUGGGCGUGGAGGGGCCCCACUGUGCUGACCGACCGCUCGCCGCAGCCUGGAGGCCCCCUCCCCCAUCUCCUUCCCUUUGUUCGCAUCUCCGGACGUUGAGUUGAAAGUGGCAGGAAAAAAAUAAUCAGAUGAAAAUCAAAGAUUAGCCGAGGUGCGCUGGCGGCCUCGGGGAGACCUGGCUGACACUCCGUGGGCGCCUCAUAAAUCUUUGCGGGCCUGACAAAAGCCGCAUCCUCCGGCUACCUGGGAAUUUCGGACUUAAGAUCUCGGCGCUGUCACCCCAACGGUCCUCUUCGGGGGAGGGCGGAGGGUCCUUGGGGACCCGGACCCAAGCCUGGAGUCCACCAGUUCCCAGAAAUAGAUGAAAGCGUCGCAGGGGGAGGGCGUGGUCUGGACAGUGAGCGCUGGCCCAAGACCCCCGUCCGAGAACCAAAUAAACAUCAGGGUGCUGCACAACCCCACUCCAGGCUGCCUGAGGAGGGCUUGGGGGUAGAGGCGGGGAAGGGUGGGGGACGGAUCAACCCCUCGUAAGCAACUCCUUUGUCUGGCACUGCCCCUGCGGAGACCAGCGGGCGCCCAGCCCAAGGGUACCGCGGCCGGAGGGGCAAGCCAGGCUUCGGAGGGCUGCUGCUCCGGCCCAGGUGUGCAGACCGCGGGCGGGGACGGCGCGCGCACGUUCGGGCUGGGCCGCGAGCUCCCCGCGCCGCUGACCAGAGGUCGGAGUGUCCGAGGUCUUCCCUGCCCACGUGCGGUCCACCCCGGAGCUGCGCCCAGACGCCCCCAGCCGCCGAGCGAGGAGAACAAUCCCAGUGGGUAGUGUGGAAAGAGGAGGAGACUGGCCCUACUGGCCCUCUCCCCAACUGAUGCAGGGAGCCCAGGAAAGUGGCUGUGCCCGGAUGGGGCCGCGAAAGCCCGGCUGGCCAGCGGGUCCUGCAGCGUGCAGCCAGGCAGCACUUUCUGGCAGCUGCCUUGCCAGGAAGGAGAAGGGACGGCUCCACAGAGCCUCUCUCCCCAGGACCCCCUGACCCAUCACUCAAAGGCUCUACCACGAAGCCUCCGGGACCUUCCCUGAAGCCCCUCGUCCUGUCCGUACACUUGUGUUGCACCAGGUGGGGGGAUGUGACCCACAGCAUCUCCCAGCCUGCAUGGAUGACAAGACUUGAACUUUAGUCUCCAGGCAAUUAAGGCAGCAAGGACUGUACUUCAAUAAUCGUUGUUAUGCAAUAAAAGUGAUAA